rnacentral:lncRNA from 1 species
AACGAACCGCCCUUGCUGUCUCUGCCUGGCCGGUUUCCCCUCUUUCCACUGGGAUUCUCUGCCUCUGUAACAGGGUUGGUUAUGUUUCCACUUGCCUCUAAAGAAAUGUGUACUUAAUGUUCAAGCAUUCGUAUUGGUUGGUUCAACUGAUGACAAUAAGGUGUGUUGUGAUUGGCCCCGCUUGCAGAUAGGGGGAGAUCGCGAACGUCAGGUCUUCCCAGUAUGAAAAUGUGAUGCAAGGGCUUUUGCCAUCGACAGCCAUCAGUAUCAUUAAGCCCUGCACAACUACCGUGCUGUUUCUCAUUUAACAACAGGAAUAAAUGAUGCUCAACUGGGACCGCUGGCUGAUGUGAUUUAUUAGGAAAAAAACACAACGCAAGGAGAGUACGCUAUACAUCUGUUACACUGGUGCCGUAACUCGUCUUCUUGUCUUCGCCGGACGUCACGUGGAGGGAUCCGAGACCUGGCUUCAAGAAGUACUGUGGUUGCUGAUGCACGCCAGAGGCCUAGGUUUCGCAGUCUGCACAAGUGGAAUUCUCAGGGAGCUCCUGGUAGCAUGAGUGAGUGGGGGGAAAUAUAAUGUACUGGUUAUUACUUGUAUGUGGUGAUGCUGUGAUUAUUUAGUGAUGUAAUUGUGCUGUUAUGCUAGUAACCUUCCGAAGCCAAUUAACGUGAGGGCAACGCCAUUUUCUACCACACGGUGGUGACAACUAUUUAUGAUGGCGUUUCUUGUUACUUUUCUGUGUUGAUUCUUGGUCUUGUUAGACAUCUACUACUGAACGUUUGUUUUGAGUGGAUUAUGUUCAUUUUGAUUUGAUAGAAUUGUUCAUAUUGAUUGUGAUUUUUUAUU